rnacentral:rRNA from 1 species
UUGGGGAAUAUUGGACAAUGGGCGAAAGCCUGAUCCAGCCAUGCCGCGUGAGUGAUGAAGGCCUUAGGGUUGUAAAGCUCUUUCAGUGGGGACGAUAAUGACGAUACCCACAGAAGAAGCCCCGGCUAACUUCGUGCCAGCAGCCGCGGUAAUACGAAGGGGGCUAGCGUUGUUCGGAUUUACUGGGCGUAAAGCGCACGUAGGCGGAUCGUUAAGUCGGGGGUGAAAUCCUGGAGCUCAACUCCAGAACUGCCUUCGAUACUGGCGAUCUUGAGUCCGGAAGAGGUGAGUGGAACUCCUAGUGUAGAGGUGGAAUUCGUAGAUAUUAGGAAGAACACCAGUGGCGAAGGCGGCUCACUGGUCCGGUACUGACGCUGAGGUGCGAAAGCGUGGGGAGCAAACAGGAUUAGAAACCCGAGUAGUCC